CCCAGCUGACGGGUUCCAAAUAGGACGAAACGCGCAUCCUGGAG
rnacentral:hammerhead_ribozyme from 1 species